UUCUUGAGCUAGUAGCAAAUGAAGUGACAUAAAAUUAGCUAUUACCAUGAGUUAUCCCUCCUCUGCCACAGGCACAAUGUUGGAAAUGGUGCUUAUUAAUGUUGUAUGCAGGUCAUCAGAUGUCACCAGCCACUUGGAAUGCAUUUACCAAUCACUCUUUUAAAUGUGGAAUGGGGGCUAGAGAAGAAAGCAAGUUUUGACAGGUGGCUAGAUCAACAACAACAGUAACAAUAACAAAUCCUCACUCUAAUUUUGUGCAAGUGUUUUAUGUUAAAAAAAAGCAGGGCUACCAGAUGUUAACUGGAUUCCUUCUGGGUAUGAGUUUAAUGCUAUUCCAGAAGUUCACAGGGACUGGAGACGCUGGGGAACAUAUUAACACUAGAUUAAACUAGGCAGUAGGUAUAGGGAUGAUCCCACCCCCAGGGGCCCUUUGUUGUUGCAACAGUGGAGAACCUAUAAUGUUAUCUAGCCUGGUAACAAAAUGUCUGCAGGAAGAGAAGAAUCCAAUCUGACUUUGCUACCAACCAAUUGGUUCCUGAAGUAAAACAGAUUGUAUCUACAGCAAAGCUGUCUUGGGAUAAGAAAAAACACAUUACUUCAAUAGCAGUACAGUAAGGAUGGCUUAAGGUUGCUUCCCACAUGGGUUGGAGAGCCAGAUAAUGCCACAUCAUGAGGAAACAGCAGGAAAAGUGUGGUUACCAGGAUAUGUUUGUGCUACAGUGAGAGCCUGCAGAUCUGGGAUGGAGAUCAUAAUCCUAAACUUCCGUGAACAACAACAUAUCACAAAAUUAAGCCAACCCAGCAAGCUCCCUACCAAGUAGAGAACAUAUACAGUGCCACUGUUGCUGCUUGGGGAAAGAAAAGAAUACACUUCAAGGAAAUAAACCAAUGGGCCACAACUAAGGACCUUCUGUUAUCCCAGAACAGCUAAUUAUUGUUUGGCUGGGGUUGCUAAUAGCUGUUGAUGUAACUUGCUGAUAUUGGAUCUCUUUGAGAAAACAAGGAUACUAAUGAUGUGGUAAUGAGCGGGGAAUUUUCAAAACGUCCUAGAAACAGAAUAUCUAGCCUUAUAAAUAUUUAUGAAAAGCCAGUUUCCAUCCACAUAUAAAUGAAAACCGAUACAUGCACAUUCUCUGGUUAGACAUCUUCUACACAAUGGAGAGCUAUCACCCUAGAAUUCCUACAGCUAUUUUAUGGGAGCAACUCAGGAGUUCACAGUAGCCAUGACAAUUGGGAACCUAUCCCAUUUGAUCCCAGAUUACAAGCUCAAUUUGAUAUUUUAUUCUGUCCAGGAAGAUAUUCUGUGGGUGGGGCAUCUCUGGUUUCCACAGUAUAGUAGAUGGAUCACCAUCCAGUUAAAGUUGCAUUAAUAGCUGUCUCUCAUCUUUGAAGAAGAAUUAGGACAGCCCAACCUAAAAGCCUUUAAAGGAUUCAGUUGGAUUACAUGACAUCUGGGAAGAAUUUGGAGCUAAUCCCAGUAGUUAGUUUGUUGAUGUCCUGUUCAUAACUAGAAUACGAAUUUACUAUGAUUAUUGACCCAAUUGCUCCUAAGUAUUCUCUCCAAUUUGCUUUAAAGUUGGUCCCAUGAUCCAUCGAUGAACCAUGGGAACUGAAAUAGCAAGGUAGAUGACUACAGGGCAAAUAGAGGAAGACACACAUCUGAUCCUUAUAAAGCCCAAUGGAAGGUUUAUGCUUUGGCAAUUCGUGUAGCAAAGCCUGUGUUUUUUUCUUCACAUAUUAGAU